CUCCUCCUGGUAGGAUCCCUUCAGGUACUGGAAGGCCACAAUUAGGUCACACCGAAGCCUCCUCUUUUCCAGGCUGAACAAUUGCAGUUCUCUCUGCCUUUCAUUCCUUCUAAAUCAGUGUCUCAUCCCUUCAGCGGUAAAGAAAGGUUUAAUAUCCUGAAGCUGAAAAUCAUAUCCACUCUUUUCAACUGGUUGUUUUGUAAAGAAUGUGCUAUGACGCAUAGGAAUGUGAUCAUAGUAAAGAGUGUGCCUGCAGAGAUGUCAUAAGUGUCUUCCCGUGCCUGCAUUUCAGAAGGCAGCACUACCAAAGAUAAAGGAGGAAUCUGAAAUAGCUGAGGUGGCAGGAAUAUUCUGGCAAUGGACUUUCCAAAGAAAAGUAUAUUUUCUCACAAAACUGAAAAUGCCCGUCGUGAAAAAUGUCAGUUUAAUGCAAAUUAAUGUGGAAAAGAGAAUUGGAAGUUUUCUCUGGUGUAUCCCUGAAGGCUCUCCUGAAGGACUGCACCGUCGCCAUCACCGCCUGUCUGCUGGAGGGAAGGGAACAACGUGCAAGAUUUUUUUCCCCAAGGCAGGAAUUUCAACUAUGCUUAGAUGGAGCUCGUAGCUUUUUUUUUUUUUCCCCUGGAAACACUUACUGAGAAGAACAGGGAAUUAUGUUUCUUUAUAGCAGGAGUGAAAGCAAAUGAAAGAACAGGAGAGAUUCAGGAUUUUGCUAUGUCUUAACAGUGCCUAGGGUACUUGUGAAAAGGCUGUCAUCAGUGCCAGGGAGAGACAAGUGCUGCAUGAAAAGUGACAGUGGAAGUUUUCCUGCUCCACCAGUGUCUUUGCCUUCUUUUUUUUUUUUUAGGAGCCAUCUAGAGAAUAAAAGCCAUACCUCAGCUAU